rnacentral:rRNA from 2 species
AACGAGUUCUGAUUAUUGAAAGGUGCUUGCAUCUUGAUUUAAUUUUGAACGAGUGGCGGACGGGUGAGUAACACGUGGGUAACCUGCCCUUAAGUGGGGGAUAACAUUUGGAAACAGAUGCUAAUACCGCAUAAAUCCAAGAACCGCAUGGUUCUUGGCUGAAAGAUGGCGUAAGCUAUCGCUUUUGGAUGGACCCGCGGCGUAUUAGCUAGUUGGUGAGGUAACGGCUCACCAAGGCAAUGAUACGUAGCCGAACUGAGAGGUUGAUCGGCCACAUUGGGACUGAGACACGGCCCAAACUCCUACGGGAGGCAGCAGUAGGGAAUCUUCCACAAUGGACGCAAGUCUGAUGGAGCAACGCCGCGUGAGUGAAGAAGGCUUUCGGGUCGUAAAACUCUGUUGUUGGAGAAGAAUGGUCGGCAGAGUAACUGUUGUCGGCGUGACGGUAUCCAACCAGAAAGCCACGGCUAACUACGUGCCAGCAGCCGCGGUAAUACGUAGGUGGCAAGCGUUAUCCGGAUUUAUUGGGCGUAAAGCGAGCGCAGGCGGUUUUUUAAGUCUGAUGUGAAAGCCCUCGGCUUAACCGAGGAAGUGCAUCGGAAACUGGGAAACUUGAGUGCAGAAGAGGACAGUGGAACUCCAUGUGUAGCGGUGAAAUGCGUAGAUAUAUGGAAGAACACCAGUGGCGAAGGCGGCUGUCUGGUCUGUAACUGACGCUGAGGCUCGAAAGCAUGGGUAGCGAACAGGAUUAGAUACCCUGGUAGUCCAUGCCGUAAACGAUGAAUGCUAGGUGUUGGAGGGUUUCCGCCCUUCAGUGCCGCAGCUAACGCAUUAAGCAUUCCGCCUGGGGAGUACGACCGCAAGGUUGAAACUCAAAGGAAUUGACGGGGGCCCGCACAAGCGGUGGAGCAUGUGGUUUAAUUCGAAGCAACGCGAAGAACCUUACCAGGUCUUGACAUCUUUUGAUCACCUGAGAGAUCAGGUUUCCCCUUCGGGGGCAAAAUGACAGGUGGUGCAUGGUUGUCGUCAGCUCGUGUCGUGAGAUGUUGGGUUAAGUCCCGCAACGAGCGCAACCCUUAUGACUAGUUGCCAGCAUUUAGUUGGGCACUCUAGUAAGACUGCCGGUGACAAACCGGAGGAAGGUGGGGAUGACGUCAAAUCAUCAUGCCCCUUAUGACCUGGGGUACACACGUGCUACAAUGGAUGGUACAACGAGUUGCGAGACCGCGAGGUCAAGCUAAUCUCUUAAAGCCAUUCUCAGUUCGGACUGUAGGCUGCAACUCGCCUACACGAAGUCGGAAUCGCUAGUAAUCGCGGAUCAGCACGCCGCGGUGAAUACGUUCCCGGGCCUUGUACACACCGCCCGUCACACCAUGAGAGUUUGUAACACCCGAAGCCGGUGGCGUAACCCUUUUAGGGAGCGAGCC